rnacentral:piRNA from 1 species
ACGGCAGUUAUCGCCUAGUCACAGGGGCAG